GAUGAACGCUAGCGGCAGGCCUAACACAUGCAAGUCGAGGGGUAACAGGGAAGAGCUUGCUCUUUCGCUGACGACCGGCGCACGGGUGCGUAACGCGUAUACAACUUACCUUUUGGAGGGGAAUAGCCCAGGGAAACUUGGAUUGAUGCCCCAUAGUAUGGGAAUAUCUCCUGAUAUUUUCAUUAAACAUUUAUGGCCAUUAGAUGGGUAUGCGUCCUAUUAGUUAGUUGGUAAGGUAACGGCUUACCAAGGCAGCGAUAGGUAGGGGUCCUGAGAGGGAGAUCCCCCACACUGGUACUGAGACACGGACCAGACUCCUACGGGAGGCAGCAGUGAGGAAUAUUGGACAAUGGGCGAGAGCCUGAUCCAGCCAUGCCGCGUGCAGGAAGACUGCCCUAUGGGUUGUAAACUGCUUUUACAGAGGAAGAACCACUCCCACGUGUGGGAGUUUGACGGUACUCUGCGAAUAAGGAUCGGCUAACUCCGUGCCAGCAGCCGCGGUAAUACGGAGGAUCCAAGCGUUAUCCGGAAUCAUUGGGUUUAAAGGGUCCGUAGGCGGGCAGGUAAGUCAGUGGUGAAAGUCUUCCGCUCAACGGGAGAACUGCCAUUGAUACUGAUUGUCUUGAGUUAUUAUGAAGUGGUUAGAAUGAGUAGUGUAGCGGUGAAAUGCAUAGAUAUUACUCAGAAUACCGAUUGCGAAGGCAGAUCACUAAUAAUAUACUGACGCUGAUGGACGAAAGCGUAGGUAGCGAACAGGAUUAGAUACCCUGGUAGUCUACGCCGUAAACGAUGGUUACUAGCUGUUCGGCCCGAUUAAGGGCUGAGUGGUUAAGCGAAAGUGAUAAGUAACCCACCUGGGGAGUACGUUCGCAAGAAUGAAACUCAAAGGAAUUGACGGGGGCCCGCACAAGCGGUGGAGCAUGUGGUUUAAUUCGAUGAUACGCGAGGAACCUUACCAGGGCUUAAAUGUAGUCUGACAGGAGUGGAAACACUUUUUUCUUCGGACAGAUUACAAGGUGCUGCAUGGUUGUCGUCAGCUCGUGCCGUGAGGUGUCAGGUUAAGUCCUAUAACGAGCGCAACCCCUGUGGUUAGUUGCCAGCGAGUAAUGUCGGGAACUCUAGCCAGACUGCCGGUGCAAACCGUGAGGAAGGUGGGGAUGACGUCAAAUCAUCACGGCCCUUACGUCCUGGGCCACACACGUGCUACAAUGGUAGGGACAGAGAGCAGCCACUUCGCGAGAAGGAGCGAAUCUACAAACCCUAUCACAGUUCGGAUCGCAGUCUGCAACUCGACUGCGUGAAGCUGGAAUCGCUAGUAAUCGCAUAUCAGCCAUGAUGCGGUGAAUACGUUCCCGGGCCU
rnacentral:rRNA from 1 species